rnacentral:rRNA from 1 species
UGGAGAAAUUUGAUCCUGGCUCAGGACGAACGCUGGCGGCGUGCCUAAUACAUGCAAGUCGAGCGGACAGAUGGGAGCUUGCUCCCUGAUGUUAGCGGCGGACGGGUGAGUAACACGUGGGUAACCUGCCUGUACCCACUGGGAUAACUCCGGGAAACCGGGGCUAAUACCGGAUGGUUGUCUGAACCGCAUGGUUCAGACAUAAAAGGUGGCUUCGGCUACCACUUACAGAUGGACCCGCGGCGCAUUAGCUAGUUGGUGAGGUAACGGCUCACCAAGGCGACGAUGCGUAGCCGACCUGAGAGGGUGAUCGGCCACACUGGGACUGAGACACGGCCCAGACCCCCCACGCCGAGGCAGCAGUAGGGAAUCUUCCGCAAUGGACGAAAGUCUGACGGAGCAACGCCGCGUGAGUGAUGAAGGUUUUCGGAUCGUAAAGCUCUGUUGUUAGGGAAGAACAAGUGCCGUUCAAAUAGGGCGGCACCUUGACGGUACCUAACCA